UCCACCGAAAAUGGCGGAAAAGAAAGGGGUUUUGAAGCUCUGAAAUAUCAGCCACUUACAUCCCUUGCUAGUAAGUGAUUUUUAAUGUCUUUCUUGAUGAUUUUUACAUUUUUGGAACCUCUAAAGCAUGAGCUUUCAUAUGAGGGGUCUAUUUUGCAAAAUGAUGAAGUGUCUAGGGUUUUUCUAUGAGAGUAAAUGUGUUGUUUUCUGUGUUUUUAUGGAAGAUUAUGAGUCCUAGUUGUCUAAUAAACAACUUUUGUGAAAGAAAUUGCAUGAAAACACCUUAAAAAGGGCUAGAUUGCUAAGUUGUAAAAUGAGUUGUAAAUGUGUGAAAUAGUUGAAAUUAUGAGUUACUAUAGUUAUGAAAAUGGUUCAUCUAGACUCAAGGAGUAAAGAAAUGUGAUAAAAAUUAUUUUACGAGCCUAGAAGUAAUUUGGUAAUUUUGGCAAAAUAUAGGGGCAAAAUUGUAAAAAGUGCUCAAGUGUGUCAAUGGACUAAUUUGAUCAGUACAUUGUUUUAAUAAGUUGAAUGUGAUAUUUUAGAUGAUGAAAAUCGAGAUUUGGACCUAGAACGGAAAGAAAUCGAUUAAGGGAUAAUUACGUCUUUUUUUACCUUUGUGGUAUCGAGGUAAGUUCAUAUGUAAAUGUUGGUAACAUAGUUAUUAUUUUAAAUGUUUUGAUGUUAUUUAAAUGAUAUGAUAAUUAUUAUGAGAUAUUAUACUUGUGAUAAUUGUUUGAUAAUAUGUAAUGGCCCAAAUUUGAGGUUAUCGGAACAGUGGUUUCGAAACCACAAAUCCGAUGAGAAAAAUUUUAUUUUUCUUAUAUUUUUAUGGUCUACAAUUUCACAAAAUGAUUUUUUGAAAAUUUCGCUCGAAAAUUUCGACGUUUGGGCACUCAAUUUAGUCAAAAGGACUAAAUUGUAAAAAGUGCAAAAGUUGAGUUCUACAUGUUAGAGGUGUCCAAUUGUUAUGAAACUUUAAAUUGGAGGUCCUUAUAUGGUAAUUAUACCAUUGGUAACUUGGUAGACAAAAAUGGACAUGAGAUAAGUGAAAUAGAAAAUUUUUAAGUUAGGGGCAAUUUGGUAAUCUAGUAAUUAAAAUGAAUUAAAAGGGAAAAAGAUGGCAAAAAUCAUCAUCUUCUUCAUAUGAACGAAAUCAGCAAGGGGGGAAGCCAUAGUUAGGGUUUUCAAGCUUCCAAGCUCCAUAGUAAGUGAUCCCAAGCCCCGUUUUUAAUGUUUUUUACGUUUUUGAGAUCCCGGUAGCUUAAUUUAGCUUAUUCUAGCAAUAAUUUAACCUAGGGUUUAUAUUUGGAAAAAUAACCAUAGGUGAAAAGUGUUUAUUUUGAUGUUUUAUGAUAGAAUAUGAAGCUAUAAAUUAUGUUAAACAACUUUUGCUAAGCGAUUUUAAGUGAAAACGAGUAAAACGACAUAAUCGGUAAAAAUACCUAAUGUUCAUAAGUACAUGUUAGAGUGGGAAUUUGAUGUUGCCAUAGAAGGGAAAAAUGUUCAGAAUGUUAUAAAACAUAAGAAUAAGAGAUGAAGUUUAAUUUCCGAGCCUUGGGGCAAAAAUGUAAUUAUGUAAAAGUUUAGGGGCAAAAUUGUAAUUUUGAAAAAGUUAGAGUCGAGGGCUGUUUUGAUGAAUGUGAUUAUUAAAUAAGUUAAAUUUACUAUUUUAGAUCAAGAAGUAUGAAACUCGAGGUUAGACAAAGGGAAGAAUAAAGUUGAAGACUAAGUUGGUGAAUUUGGCUAUAAUUGGUACCGAGGUAAGUUUACGGUAAAUAAAUGCAAUAUUUCAAUAUUUAUUAUUAAUGCUGUUAAUUUCCAGCAAUUAUGAAUUUAUUUUAUGAAUUUAUUUGAUGAUGAUCCAAGCAUGAAAUGAUAGAGAAUUAAAAUUUAAAAGUCCCGUUGAUACAUAAGGAUGGUACUGGAUACGAAUGUCAUGACAUUUGGGUAAAGAGAUCCCAUGUAAGACCAUGUCUGGGACAUGGCAUUGGCAUCCUUAAGAUCAUGAGAGGUCCCCUGUAAGACCAUGUCUGGGACAUGGCAUGGGCACCGAGACGAGAGGUCCCACGUAAGACCAUGUCUGGGACAUGGCGUUGGCACCGAGAUGAGAGGUCCCCUAUAAGACCAUGUCUGGGACAUGGCAUGGGCACCAUCACGAGAACAUCCCAUGUAAGACCAUGUCUGGGACAUGGCUUUGGCAUGUUAUUAUCAGAAGAGACCCGAGUAUCCUUAUUAUUCCAAUGUAGCUCAACGGGCUUGUAAACGAAUCAUGUUCAUGAAAGUUCAGUUUAAAGCAUAAAUGGCAAGCUCAGGUAAGUUGUAAGACUUAAGAACUUAUUAUACUAUCAAUUGAUGUUCAACGAUGCAGCAAGGAUUGAGUAAGUUAUGCACACAAGUAUUCUAAGUAAACAAGUAAGAGAACUAGUAUGAGAUUAACUAAAGAGUAAACUAGAGAUAUAGACAUUGAGUUUAAUUAUUUAAGUUAAAUAUUGUUAUUUAUUUGCUAGUAAACUUACUAAGCUUUAUGCUUACUUCUUUUAUUUCUCUUUCUCUUAUAGUAUUGCAAAGCUACUUCAAGGAUCCUAAAGAAGUCGGAGAUCAUCCACACUAUCAACUACAACUGCUCGGUAUUUUAUAUCGAAACACGUUUGAGUUAUGGCAUGUAUAGGGAUUUAGUUAUUUUGUAUGUUUGUAAUGAUGAUUUUGCUAAUGAGUGAUGUGUAAGUAUUUGAUGAUGUAUGGUUAUUAAAAUGAUUAAGGAUGAAGGUGUUUGUUGUUAUGAAAGAUUAGGUGAUAAAUUAUGCAUGGAAAUCAUGAAAGGAUAAAAUUUUGCAAAGAAACAGAAUUCAGGCAGCACAGUGACGUGAAUUUGAAAAAUCACCCAAGAUAGUAUAAAAUGAAUUAGAGGGUGAAUGAUAUAUGGAAUUAAAGCUUGUUGAGUCUAUUUUCAUGGAAAAAUAACGGUGUAGAAAAAGGAAAUUUAUAUUUUAAGAUAUGUGAAUUUUAGUAAGAUAGGGUCAGAACUGUUUUUGGAGUCCCCUGUUCUGAGUUUAGAAAAUAAUUACAAAUUGUACAAAAAUGGUUAUGAGUUGAAAUUUACAUGCUUAGAUUCAUUAAUGAGUCUAUUUUCUGUAGAAACAAGUAAUAAUUUCAUAUGAAAAUCCUACAGUGAGAAAACUUAUUUUUAGUGACUAGAGGUCAGGGCAGUCAGGUGGUGAAACAGGGGAGACUUUAACUAAUAAACUGUACUAAUUUGCUGAACCAAAAAUUCUAAAAAUUUUAUGGUGAGUAGAUAUAUGAGUCUAGUUUCAGGAAAAAUUUACAGAAUUAAAUUUCGAGUUCUGUAGCUCAAGUUAUAAUUAAUUUAGUAACUGCUGUGCGAUUAGACAGAUUUGCUGCGAAUAAUGAAAUAAAUUUUCAAACCUAGUUUUUAUGCUCCGAAUUGGUAAGAUAAGCUAAGUAAUGCCUCGUGCUCGACUCCGGAAACGGUCUCGGGUAAGGGGUGUUACAUAAUAUGUCAAAUUAUAUGAUAUACUUGGAAAAUGUGAAAUACUACCGAGUAUUGGUAUCGGCAUUCCGUAGAAGAUGGUUGAGACAUAUGAUUGGGAAAAAGGUCCCGUUGAACCUUAGGAAUAGAUUAGGAUACAAGUGACAUGUCACUGGAAUAUUUGGGCAUCCGAGCUCGUUGAGUUGAGUCCGAGUUCACUUAUGGAUGCGAAUGUUCGAACUCGUUGAGUUAAGUCCAAGUUCGUGAGAUGUAACUAGGCAUCCGAGCUCGUUGAGUUGAGUCUGAGUUCACUUAUGGAUGCAAACGCCCGAGCUCGUUGAGUUGAGUCUGAGUUCACUUAUGGGCGGGUUACAUGGUAGCUUGGCUACAUAUGUGGCACUUAUGUGCAAACUUUCCAUGUAUCCGAAUUAUAUUCCGAUGUGUUCAAUGGGUAAAAUUCUACUCAAAUGGAGGAAUACUCGAGAUGAAAGGGACGUAUUGAUAAAUGUUGUGAAAUGGAUACUUUGAACAGGUAUGUACUUAACCCUCGGGUUGAAAACUCGACAUAACAACAAAAUGGUAAGAUGGUAAAUGAAAAUGUGAUAUGAAUGUCUCGGUGAUGAUUAUACAAAUGAUGUUGUAUUAAUUUUGUGAGCAAUGAUCAUGAAUGAGUAAUUUAGCCUUGACAGAUUUGAGUUACUGCAGUAGUGUAACUUUGAAAAUACACUAAAAACAGUGGAAAAUAAGUUAGAGGCAGAAUAAAAUAUGGGAUUAAAGCUUGAUGAUUCUAUUUUCACAUGAAAGAAACAGAGGAAGAAAAAGAAUUCCAUAUUGUGUGAUAUAUGAAUUCUUGUGAAACAGGGUCUGCAUGAAUUCGAGAUCCCCUGUUCUAACUUUAGAAAUUCACAAAAAAUUUUACAAAAAUUAUUAAGAGUCAUACCUUACAUUCAUGGAUUCCUUAUUGAGUCUAAUUUUAGGGGAAAUAAACGGCAUGGUCGUUGGAAUUCUGUACAGGGAGAAAUUCUGUUCGUAGUGCACAGGGGUUAGAGUGGUCAUACCCUAAAAUAGGGGAGACUUUAACUAAUAAACUGUACUAAUUGGCCAAUCCAAAAAUUCUAGAAAAAAAAUUAGUAAGUAGAAAUAUGAGUCUAGUUUCAAGAGAAAUAGACGAGAACAUUAUUCGAGUCUUGUACUAUGAGAUAAUUGAACUUUAGUACAGAAGGGUCGGAACUAGCAAACAGUGAAUCAGGGGUAACUUUGAGGAAUAAACUGUACUAUUUGGCUUAACCAAAAAUUUUAGAAAUUUUAUGGAAAAAAGGAAAAUAAGUCUAGUUUCAUGGAAAAUUAACAGAGCUUAAUUCGGAGUUUCAUAGCUCCAGAUAUAAAUAAUUUAGUGACUAUUGCUCAGAAAGACAGCUUGUAGUGAACUUGAGAAUAUGUUGUAAACAUUGAUAAAACAAGUUAAUGAGUUACUUAUUGUUUUCAUAUGAACUUACUAAGCGAAAGCUUACCCCCCUUCUUUCCCAUGUUUCCUAGGGUUGCCAGGUUAGCUCGGGUUGGAGGCCGUCAGAGAUAUUAUCACACUGUCAAGCUAACGCUAUUGGUGUAGUGAUUUCAAGUACUUUGAGCCUAUGGCAUGUAUAGGAGUUUAAAUAUUAGAGUAUGUGAUAUGGCUUUAACCAUAUGUGUUGGCCUAUUUGGAUUAUGGGGUUGUAAAUCUAUUUUAAUUAUGCAUGCAUGUGCUAUGGUAUUAUGUGAUGAGUUUAUAAUGAUUAUAGUAUGAAUGUGAUAAAGAUGUG
rnacentral:lncRNA from 1 species